rnacentral:misc_RNA from 1 species
CAACCCUUAAGCCUAGCUUAGUGUUGGGACUCUACCGCCUGGCGGUAGUUCCUUAAAUCUAACGGCGGAGUUAUAGUUACCUCUGAGCGCAGUAAUUUUUUAUAACGCUUGGGAAGUGCUAUAGUUCUAGCCGCUAAACCCCCUAUUUUUAAU